GGACCAAGGAGUCUAGCAUAUGCGCAAGUCAUUGGGACAUUUUAAUAAACCUAAAGGCAUAAUGAAAGUGAAUAAUUAUAAAUUUUCGUAAUUUAUAAUUUUUAGGGAAGAUGAUUAAUGUUUUAUAUAUAUUAAUCCGCAUUCCCGGGGCGUCGCGUACUUAUUGCAAGUUGCGGCGCACCAAGAGCGUAUACGCUGGGACCC
rnacentral:rRNA from 1 species